UGUGUAGGCGGUUGUUUAAGUUUGGUGUGAAAUCUCCCGGCUCAACUGGGAGGGUGCGCCGAAUACUGAAUGACUAGAGUGCGGGAGAGGAAAGUGGAAUUCCUGGUGUAGCGGUGAAAUGCGUAGAUAUCAGGAGGAACACCGGUGGUGUAAACGGCUUUCUGGACCGUAACUGACGCUGAAACACGAAAGCGUGGGGAGCAAACA
rnacentral:rRNA from 1 species